rnacentral:tRNA from 1 species
AUCUGGGUGGCUCAGUGGUUGAGCAUCUGCCUUCAGCUCAGGUCGUGAUCCUGGGGUCCUGGGAUCGAGUCCCACCUCAGGCU